CUGUUGUCGGGGGGAGAGCAGGUUCAACGCAUGUGCCCUGAUGUGAAAUGCAGACAAAAUUUGUGGCUAUGACAGAAGAGUUUAUGCUCACAAAUGUGGAUGGUGGAAUACCAGUUUAACAUUUACACUGAGAAACCUUAAUCCCUGCUUAAGUGAAAGAUUUUACAGGAGUUGGAGAUCGCUUGACAAGUUUGGCAGUGCAUACAGAAGGUACAAUUGAGACUGAACAUUUUCGGUUUGGGUCGCCAGUGCAAUUGUGGUUAUGAGUUUCCCCUAAACCUUACCUAUUUCGUGGACAAAAUCAAUGACUGAAAAAAAAAUGAAAAGUUACAGGUGAGGAACCACACCAGCCUCUCACUGUGGCAGUGCAGCCCAGGACAGCACCUCUUGGUAGUGACAUUACCCUGGAAUAAGUAUAGUGCAAACCUUGCAAUUAUUAUUGCAGUUGGAGAAAAAAGGGUGUGUGCGGAACAGCUGUACACUCAGGGAGAUAUUGAUUCCCACAAAAACAUUUCCACAGCUUUUACUCAAACUUCUAUUCUGAGUGCUAUUUCUGGAAUGAAUUGCAAGCAACAUAGGUAGUGUUUGUAUUUUAACCUUAUGUGUUCGCCCUCUUUUUCUCUUUCCACAGUAAAGUUUGAACAGCAUGUGGUCAAAUUUUGAUUCUGAAUAUUCUGUCUGGAUAUAUGGAGAUGUGAGCCAUAACUUUCUGGCUCAGAGCUAAGAUUGGUAAUGCUCCAGUCAUUACUGUGGAAAACAAAAGCAGGCGAUGAAAAACUAAAAAGACCUGAGAAGUAAUUCAACACCAUCACUGUGUCAACAUUGCGAAAUGAGAGAGACACUCAUAACACAAACUAUACAUUUUCCAAAAAAAAGUCAAACCUCAAUUGAAAAAGCCGUCUGACUUGCACCAGGAAAUACUAAUCCCACAUUACUUGUGGGUGUAGGAGAGAAUGACGCAAAAUAAAGACACACAUAAUAAAGACAGUUCUGCAGAACAAUAAAUUUUCUUGGCAGGUGUGACUACGCCUUAAGAUUGGGUUGCUCUCUGUUUUAUAUGCUUCAGGAGAAAUCUUAGAAUGUACAGAUUUGAAAUCAUGAGUUAUGCCUCCAUGAUAUCUGGUGGGUUUCCUCAUGGUAUUCAUAAAGUAAUCCCUGACAAAUCAAGCAUUAAUGCGAUACCACUGCAGUUGCAGACACCAGUGACUGAUGUUCAUUAGAACGCAGCAAUACUAACUUUUUUUUUGUUGCCACAGUCCUAUAGGGCUGAUGUCAUAUGAAGAGAGACAACUGGUGGUGAGUUUAACAUAAGGGUUGCCAUGCCUCAGGCGAUGGGCGAGAUUGAGGAGGCAU